CAGCAGCCGCGGUAAAACGUAGGGUGCAAGCGUUAAUCGGAAUUACUGGGCGUAAAGCGUGCGCAGGCGGUUAUAUAAGACAGAUGUGAAAUCCCCGGGCUCAACCUGGGAACUGCAUUUGUGACUGUAUAGCUAGAGUACGGCAGAGGCGGAUGGAAUUCCGCGUGUAGCAGUGAAAUGCGUAGAUAUGCGGAGGAACACCGAUGGCGAAGGCAAUCCCCUGGGCCUGUACUGACGCUCAUGCACGAAAGCGUGGGGAGCAAACAGGAUUAGAUAUCCCCGUAGUCCCUGUCUCUUAUAA
rnacentral:rRNA from 1 species